AGAAAUAUGUCUGAAAAAAGAGUUACUUUGAUGGAGUAAAUCAUAGAGGUUUAAACCCUCUUAUUUCUA
rnacentral:tRNA from 1 species